CGCGGUAAUACGUAGGGUGCAAGCGUUAUCCGGAAUUAUUGGGCGUAAAGAGCUCGUAGGCGGUCUGUCGCGUCUGCUGUGAAAUCCCGAGGCUCAACCUCGGGCUUGCAGUGGGUACGGGCAGACUAGAGUGCGGUAGGGGAGAUUGGAAUUCCUGGUGUAGCGGUGGAAUGCGCAGAUAUCAGGAGGAACACCGAUGGCGAAGGCAGAUCUCUGGGCCGUAACUGACGCUGAGGAGCGAAAGGGUGGGGAGCAAACAGGCUUAGAUACC
rnacentral:rRNA from 1 species